AGUGAACGCUGGCGGUAGGCCUAACACAUGCAAGUCGAACGGCAGCACAGUAAGAGCUUGCUCUUACGGGUGGCGAGUGGCGGACGGGUGAGGAAUACAUCGGAAUCUACUUUUUCGUGGGGGAUAACGUAGGGAAACUUACGCUAAUACCGCAUACGACCUACGGGUGAAAGCAGGGGAUCUUCGGACCUUGCGCGAUUGAAUGAGCCGAUGUCGGAUUAGCUAGUUGGCGGGGUAAAGGCCCACCAAGGCGACGAUCCGUAGCUGGUCUGAGAGGAUGAUCAGCCACACUGGAACUGAGACACGGUCCAGACUCCUACGGGAGGCAGCAGUGGGGAAUAUUGGACAAUGGGCGCAAGCCUGAUCCAGCCAUACCGCGUGGGUGAAGAAGGCCUUCGGGUUGUAAAGCCCUUUUGUUGGGAAAGAAAAGCAGCAGGUUAAUACCUCGCUGUUCUGACGGUACCCAAAGAAUAGGCACCGGCUAACUUCGUG
rnacentral:rRNA from 1 species